GAGAUGAUAGACAUGUCGGCCCGUGUUUCAAACAAACGACAAGACCUCACCCCCAAGCCUGCGUUCGUCUUCAACCCCUCUGCAGAGAAACAUACCACCCGUCGUGGGUGCCAAUGGAAUCCACGCAGAUCGGCCGAGAUGGCAUCAUGGCAUAGUGCUGGACUGCUGGGACGCAUUGAUUCCAACCAUGGACAUGCCUCUCCGAUCGAAGUAAUAGAGGGACCUGUGGCUGUUCAUGGUCUAGAAAUUCUGGGAUCAAUCGUCCCUGAUCUGGAAACUGAAGCAAUCCCCUGAUCUGAAGUGGUAGAUGGUGGCGUGUCCGAUCUCUUCCCGCACGGCAUCCCUGGCGGUGAUGCACACAACGGCGGCCGUGGAGAUGUGAACACUAGGCUGUAUCAGGCAACGGGAGGUUGGUACGCAGGUACCAGAUUCAUAAUGGACUUAGCCAGAGCAACCCCGAGCAAACUGAGCUCGAUUGAAAGAUGUCUCCUAAAGUCUGAAGGAAAGCACACACCUGACACUUUUGCUCCUUUAGAUGGCAUGUCGUUUGAUUCAUGCCAAGAAGUGUACGGACAGUAUAACCUAUACGCUUGGGAGAAUGGAUUCAGAAUUCGUCGUGGAAAAUCCAGAUGGGGAGAUGGGCGGCGUUACCAGCUGAUGCAUGAAAUUGUUUGCUAGUGCCAGGUCAGUUACAUAGUGUCAUGCUUGAAGGUUCAGUAGAACUACAUCUUGUUGCCCCAUUUCGUGAUGAGCAAAUUUAAGAUGGUCCAAGUUAAUAUGAGCCGUCAAUUUUUCCCAGUCGAAUGGGUCGAAUGUGUCUUACCUCUUGGGAGGUAAGAAUCUAUUAAUUCCUUUACAAGGUCAGUAUAGACUUUGCACUUUACAUAAAUAAGGAACUAGUAAAUGAUUACAUCUUAAAGUCAGACAAUAAAAGGAAAGAAAUAUCAUUAUACUACUUGCAACCUGUUUAUCUUCCACUUUUAGCUCUGUUACAUCCUCACAAAUUGAGCUUUAUUUUUCUUGCCCAUUUUGAUUAAGUGCCAAAAGGUUAGUAAAAUACAUACAUGUAAACCGGAUAGCAUAUUUGUCAAAUUACUAAUAUUUGUCUAACCUUUUACUGUAUUUUCCCAACCUUUUUCGAUGAUCAUUUCUUGAGCUGAUACAAAUAAUAUAUGAUAAUUUAAAGUGUGAAAUUUUUUUUGUAUACGAUGGUUCUUGGAGAAUGACAAUUAACUAUUCUUUCAAGAAAUGAGAAGUCUCUAUGGAAGAAUAUAUUUUCUUCUUCCAAAAACAAGUCUGGUGUAUGUGACCAAUCAUGAGAAUUUAUACCGAUAUGGGCGAAAGAAUGAUUGAUCCAUUCAAAAGAUUUCUUUUUUAGCAAAGUAACUUGCCAUAGUUGAGAAAGAUUACAUGUGCAGACUUGCCAUUGACCGGUUGAGAUCAAAUACUCCUCUUACAUCAUAGGUGGAAAGAGGGACUAUCUUAAAAGCGUUUGGAUUCUUUUGUGCUUGGAAAUCGCUUGGCAUUUAUAUUGUAGAAAUUAUCUUUUUUGUUGUCUCUUUGUGCUUGUGGUGUGCAGGGUAAACUAGACAAAUAUAAAAUUUUCCCCUACAAAACAGAGUGCAAGGCGUGGACGCGGCUCCUCCACACGAAGGACCAUGGUUGGUAUGUUAGCAUAUUCAGUAACAAGCACAGUCACCCUCUAUCAGCAAGUUGUCAGGAGACAAGGUAGUGGAAUUCACAUAGUCAGAUCAAUCCGGUUCUUAUGAAUUUCAUCAAGAAUCUCAGGGAGAAUAAUAUUAGCGUCAGGAAGGCAUCAGCAAGGUAUACAAUAUUAUCAAUGCAACAACACAUGGAGAUCAGACCAGCAAACCGCUCUGAAAACAGAACUUAAGGUAUCUUUGCUCAAGGAUAGCUCAAGAUGCAAUAACGGAUGACAUGUAUAAGACCGACAACUUUUAGAAGAUAUGAAGUAUAUUGAUCCGAACCUGUCAGUACGCGUUGAAUUUGAUCAGGAAGGUUCCACCAAGUGUCUUGUGGUGCACAGGAAAGAACAAACAAACAGGAUUGUGUAUGAUGACAUGCAUGGGGCAACUAGCACUAUAGCCCUAGGCCUAGUAACAACAUCUCUUGUAAUUCAUCUUUGCAAAGUAUAGCGAAUCUAAGGUGCAUCACUUAAAGCUAGCUUAGCCCU